UACGAAGGGUGCAAACGUUGCUCGGAAUUAUUGGGCGUAAAGCGCACGUAGGCGGCUUAGCAAGUCGGAUGUGAAAUCCCUCGGCUCAACCAAGGAAGUGCAUCCGAAACUGCUGAGCUUGAGUACGAAAGAGGAUCGCGGAAUUCCCGGUGUAGAGGUGAAAUUCGUAGAUAUCGGGAGGAAUACCAGUGGCGAAGGCGGCGACCUGGGCCAAUACUGACGCUGAGGUGCGAAAGCGUGGGGAGCAAACAGG
rnacentral:rRNA from 1 species